rnacentral:misc_RNA from 1 species
ACACAAGGACAAAAAAUCAUCUCUAAAGAGAUGUCCUGUGAAAUGGAGACAGGAAACAGAACUAGUUCAUUACCAAUGAUCAUUUUGCGUAUAAUUGUCACCGGCGCAAAUCAUGACAAUCUAAAGAAACAGAUUUAACAUUCAAAUCUUAAAAUAAUAUGAUUGCAAUCCCAUGAAAUCAACCAUGCCUAUAUCAUUGAUUGU